GAAAAGUACUGUGGUUACUCUUAAACUUGACUGUUGUCCUAUGUAUUUACAUUAGCAUUACUCUUUGCAGGAACAAUCAUUGCCCUUUUGUAGUCUGUAAAGUUGGCAUCUCUGAGUACUGCAUACUACAGUUUACUACAUGUACAUGUAGUGUUUUGUAGCUUUAAGUGAGGUUAUACUUCUAUGGUAAGGGCAAUAUGUGCUUGGCCGGUAUUAAACAAGUACGUUUAAUACCAGCUAGGGGCCUGGACGCGAAUAAUGGCCCGAGCCAAAGGCGGGGGUCUUGCAUUCCCAUUCAUAAAUACCAUUUGUGUUUUAAAGUCAAAACAAGUCAAAGAUUCACCAAUUUCAACCAUUUUUCAACGAUUUCAACAAUUUUACAUCAUGUUUUUGGAACACCCCUCUUCCCAUGUCUAUGGUACUAUGUGCCUCGUGAGCGAACUGUGUGGUGUUAAAUAUCUCCAUAUGUGUAUUGAGAAUGGGUAUUGAGAAUGGCGGGCCAGUACUGCGUGCUGCACGAUGUAGUGCAGAAUGCAGCAGUGUUUUAUCAGUGGUUUUAAAACCACCCAUGUGACGGGCUCUCGACCAAUAGGAAUGGGUAAACUGUCUGAGAUAUUUAUGACCAAACAUAAUGCCAUCCAAGCAGUGUUUGAACAAGUCACUGAAUCAGUGUUGUAUGUAGUUAGGGUAAAAUACUUGUAAUGGAUCACAAACUUGUCUUUCUGUUACUGGAGUACAAGUUGCAGACAACUUGAAUUUGAGUACAUUAUUCGUGUAGGCAAUGUGUACAACCAUACAUCAAAUAUAUAGACAAAGAGUAUCAAAUACUUUACCAUAGAAAUUUAUUUUAAUAAUUAUAAAAGUAUAUACAAAUGAGCAAUUUUAAUAUUGUAUUUCUUCAUCUGUAUUGGCUCAGCUAUACAUGCAUUUAGCAUUGGUUAAUUCCAUGUCGAUAUUUCACAAUGUAUUGCUCAAGGUCAUUGUAUAAAAAUAGCACUGUGUCUGAUUUAAUAACAGGUGUACGUGUCCUUGUCAUAUCAUAAUUAUCGCAUUCUUUAUUGCAAAUGGAAAAGUAAAUCCCGCACAAUCACUCAUAUUUACCUACUGUGUGCUAGAUAAUAGUGCAAAGUUCAUUCUAUUGUGUCAUUUUACUUAGUCACUGUAUAAACAACAGUUUGCUGAUACAUGUAAGUACAAUGCAUGUGACUUGAAUAGACUUAAAACAGAUACAUGUAGACACAAAAUUUUAAAUUUUUUACAGAUUAUAAUUAUGCAUUUUUUAGUUUUCUUAAAACCAGUCACUUUCAUGUCUCAUGCAGGAUUCAUCCGAAAAUUGUGAUUCAUGUUAUACUGCACCUAAAUGCAAUUAUGUUUGUGUGCCUUUUGUGUGUGAAUAACUUAUGUCUAAAUAACUUCAAUAGCUGUAUGUCUAUCAAGCUUAAUGUGUUAUGUUAUUGUUUGUUAUGCAUUCAUAGUAAGUUCAAAAUCUUUUAGAAAUGCAAACACAAUGCAAACUAGUCAUUAUUACAGGCAUUCCUAAAGCUACGUGUUCUCGUGUCUUUUCAAAGGAGUAUACAAUGUACUUCAGUGCAUGCUUAGUUCUCAGUAACUCGGUUGUUUUCAAAAAUUGCAACUAACCGCACGGAACAUACUAGUCAAUGUAGGUAUUCUUCAUCUGGAGGUAAACUAACCAUAUUUCAGAUGUCUUGGUUUCAGGAAAUACACAUUACAUGUUAUGUCAUACAAAUGUUAUAAGGAAAAAUUAUUAUAAAAAAUCCUUGUUUGUUUUUAUCUGACCUGACAACCACUUUUUGCCUGGUACAUGUACAUUGUAUUUCAAAAAGCAAAUACAGCUUCAAAAUUAACACUACAAAAUAAAAGAAGGGAAAUUGUGUUUGAACUACAUUUUUCGAAAAAGAAACAUUGUAAUAUGAAAUAAGACCAGCACAACAAUGACUGGACUCUUAAUAGCCAAAUGUACCCCAAAAUUCCUUCUCGUGAUAAUUACAUUAAAACAACAAAUGUUCAAGGUAGAGAUGCACACACUUCUACAUUCUACUGUUUAAUGAUCUUUCCAGCUAUCGUGCGGGAAACGUGUUUUGCCCAGACAGUACUGCACUGCAGACAUAAUAGAAUAUUUUUGGGUUUAUUGAAAUAGAUUGUUGGUUUCAGUUUUUGAAACAUAAGUAAAAUAUAUGUAUGAUGCUAAAAUCAUAUAACACGCCAAA